UACGUAGGGUGCAAGCGUUGUCCGGAAUUAUUGGGCGUAAAGAGCUCGUAGGUGGUUUGUCGCGUUGUUCGUGAAAACUCACAACUCAAUUGUGGGCGUGCGGGCGAUACGGGCAGACUGGAGUACUGCAGGGGAGACUGGAAUUCCUGGUGUAGCGGUGGAAUGCGCAGAUAUCAGGAGGAACACCGGUGGCGAAGGCGGGUCUCUGGGCAGUAACUGACGCUGAGGAGCGAAAGCGUGGGGAGCAAACAGG
rnacentral:rRNA from 1 species